rnacentral:rRNA from 1 species
UACGGAGGGAGCUAGCGUUGUUCGGAUAUACUGGGCGUAAAGCGCACGUAGGCGGCGCCGUAAGUCAGGGGUGAAAUCCCGGAGCUCAACUCCGGAACUGCCCUUGAAACUGCGGUGCUAGAAUCUUGGAGAGGCGAGUGGAAUUCCGAGUGUAGAGGUGAAAUUCGUAGAUAUUCGGAAGAACACCAGUGGCGAAGGCGACUCGCUGGACAAGUAUUGACGCUGAGGUGCGAAAGCGUGGGGAGCAAACAGG